AACGAACGCUGGCGGCAGGCCUAACACAUGCAAGUCGAGCGAGGCAGCAAUGCCUAGCGGCGGACGGGUGAGUAACGCGUGGGAACGUACCCUUUGGUUCGGAAUAGCCCUGGGAAACUGGGAGUAAUACCGGAUACGGUCGAGAGACGAAAGAUUUAUCGCCGAAGGAUCGGCCCGCGUUGGAUUAGGUAGUUGGUGGGGUAAUGGCCUACCAAGCCGACGAUCCAUAGCUGGUUUGAGAGGAUGAUCAGCCACACUGGGACUGAGACACGGCCCAGACUCCUACGGGAGGCAGCAGUGGGGAAUCUUAGACAAUGGGCGCAAGCCUGAUCUAGCCAUGCCGCGUGAGCGAUGAAGGCCUUAGGGUUGUAAAGCUCUUUCAGGGGGGAAGAUAAUGACUGUACCCCCAGAAGAAGCCCCGGCUAACUCCGUGCCAGCCGCCGCAGUAACAC
rnacentral:rRNA from 1 species